GACUAUUGGCGCCGUGUCUUGCCAUUUGUGUGAGCUAUCUUACUUUGCCUUUCAAGUGCUUGCGAGAUGUUACCUGACUUAUGGGUAUUGGUGCUUCAUACAUAGUUGCCUCGUGGUGGACGCCUUUGGGUGUGCUGCUGCGGCCAUAUGGCGAUUGUGGCGUUGCCUCGUGGUGCUGGUUCUCGUGCCCGGUGCUAUCAAGGCAGCCUUGCUCUCGUUAAUGGUUUUGGAUGUCGCUCAUGAUAUAUAUCCUCGUGGCCCAUUUGGUUGCCUCGGGGCUUGACCCUAAGAACGCUCUCCGACUUUGAGAACAUCGUUGAACGAAUGUUGCCUCUACCUUUCCACAACAAAUGGAAGGAUUACGCAGCAGACUCGAGUCCGAUCCCCAAAUAAGUCGGACGAGCAAGACCCUAAGAAUGCUCUCUGACUUUGAGAACAUCGUUGAACGAAUGUUGCCUCUACCUUUCCACAGCAAGUGGCAAGGAUUACGCAGCAUACUCGAUUCCGAUCCCCAAAUAAGUCGGACGAGCUUGGCCCGCUCAACAGCGACAACC
rnacentral:misc_RNA from 1 species